CAAAGGGAAAAAAUAGAAAAAAAGAAAGGGUUUGGGCAAGAACUUAACUGUGAGUUGCGGCGUCCCACGAGAGUGACCAUAUUCAGGUAAGAACCUCAAAUUUGAACUCUUUAAUCCCAUAAUAAAUUGUAUAUUCAUGAAUUAAUGAAUGUGUUGUCACUUGGAGGGGAAGGAGUAUUAUAUUGGUUUUUAGAAUGCAUUAUUCUUUCAAUUAAUGUUGUUGUACGUGGAUUUGGGAAUUUGGGGUACAAGUUUUAGUGGGGUAUUCAUGUGAGGUAGGUCAGGAGGUAAGGAAUUGGAUGUUGGGCAACAUGUUACAGUGGGGGAAGAGAAAGUAUUGUCCUCGAUUGUUAAUUAAUGAGGUGCUAAUGAUUACUAUUUCAGAGAAGGCAUAAUUUCUGUAUAUUUCUAACCAUAAAUUGACACCACCGACAUUUUUAUGUGGCUCCGUUGUUUGAGAUUUUCUUUAGUUAUCAUAUUAUGACUCACGUUUUAAUAUCUUGAGUAGGUAGUUAAAUAUUAGAAGUAUGGUAUUACGUGAAUACCAUUCGAAUUAUGAUAUUGGGAAAAUUGGGACUUAACCCUAGACUUGAAACUUGGAAAAUAUGAUAGUUGAAAUGUUGAUUGACAUCAAGAUUUACGAACUGGAUUAUAAAUUUGGGUGAAUUGUUGGUUCAAGGCUAAACACAUAGUAAUGUGGGUGUUGUUAAUUUCAAAAUCUUAUGGUAGGAAUUUGUUUGGAUAGAUUGUAUUGAUUUGGUGCCCAGUGUAAGGGGAAGACUCAAGUCCCGGAGUGAUUGUUCGACUAUUUGAGGCAAGUGAAUUUCUAAACCCUUGUUAAGUGUAUGGAAUUCGUGUAUUUCCUUGUAACAUGUGUUUGGAGGUAAUGAGACUUGGUGAUGGGUUGACUUGUCCACAUUGAUUAAUUCUAAUAAUGGAAAAGGGGUAAUAAAAGGCAAUGUGAUUAAUUAUUUGUGUGUGAUGUGUUGAGAAUUGUUUGUGACGGGCAUUGGUACGAAUAUCGGUGUUAUAAAGGGAAAGUUUAUUACUAUAGAAUACAGAUUGUAAUCCGAGAAUGUCAAAGCAUAUGGGCAUUAGCUGAUAUAUUAUUGACUUGAUUUAUUAUGUGUGAUUGUGUUCUUUAUUAAACCCGUAUACUGGUGAUAGCUGAGGUAAUUGCAUAUCAUAUUGAUAUUUGAUUAAGAUACAUCAUUCCUUUUAUUGAAAUCAUAUUGUGCACAUGUAUUGACAUGAGAUUGAGUAUAAGUUGGGCACGUGGAGAUCGUCCGUGCUAGGGAUGGUAAGAUGUUAAAAUUAUAAUUUGGCACGUGGAGAUCGUUCGUGUGAAAUUUGUUUGAUUCAUGAUAGUGCGUUGAGACCGUCCGCACAAACACGUAAAGAUCGUCUGUGUCGGUAUAUGGACCUCGCGAGUCCCCCAUGCGUCAUGAACUCUCGAUGUAUUUCCGAGGAGUAUCAUGUAUAUACGGUUGAGAGAGUACUUGGUAUUCUGAGGCAUAUCAUUUCAUGGUGUCAUAUUGCAUUGCAUCCCAUGACGUCCUUCAUUCUUGAUGAUUAUAUAUUUUAUUGAUGGUUGGAAAGUACCUGAUGUUUGAUUACCUCUAUUUGAUGAAUUUGAUCUUAUGUGUUGUUGAUAUUUGUGAGUGCCUUUUUGUGAAAGUUGUGAUUGAUGAAUAUUGAGUUUGUUGUUGAGGAUAUGUAAUUUGUUAAAGUGAUUGUUGUUGAGCUGAGUGUUAUGUAAAUUGUGAACUGUUAGGUUGGACUGGUUUUAUGCAGGUUGUAGUUGUAGAGGUUCGGUUGGGGUGUAAUGAGUACCCGUAUUCUAUUCCCUUAGCUUGUGUUUAGAGAUGUACUUGCUGAGUAUCGUGUGGUUUGGUACUCACCCCUUGCUUCUACAAUUUUUUGUAGGUUACGAGCCUGGAUUUUGUGAUACUUUCCAUUCUCCUAUUUUCCGAGGCUUUUUGGAGAUUUGUGAAGUAGUUGUUUAUCAUCUCAGUGGACCUUCUUACUCCUUAUUUAUGAUAUUGUUCUAUUUUAGAGACAACAUCAUUUGAGACUUACGUUUUCUUUCAAAUCUAUUGUAAUACUUUAGAGGCUUGUACACGUGACAACCAGAUUUUUGGGGUAUUUUUGAGUUAAUUAUGAAAUUUCUGUAUUUUAAUGUAAUGGGUGAGUGUUAGGGUGUGGACAAGCUGAGUCUAAGUAGAGUCUCGAAGAUCGGUACGGAGACGUCAGUACUUAUCUUUGAGAGGCUAUAGUGACUUUUAGGAAAAAUCUUCACUUUUUGAAUCUCUAUCGUGCAUCCUUGGUCCGAUUUGAUCCUUAUCACUUCACUUCAUUCUCACUCAUUUAUGUGAUGACUCAUGCGUAAUUCCUCAUGUGAGUAUUUGGUGUGUUGUAUUUGUCUUGGAUGUUAGAUUUGUUACAAAUAUGGAAGUGAUAGACUUAUGGGAAAGAUGUGUUGUCAGAUUUAGAAUGUUCAACGAUUCGAAUAGAUUGAGUUAAGUUAUGACUUGACGAAACAUUUUGAGGAUAUUUGGAUGGCUAGAUUGAACAGUGGUUUUAGGGACUUCAUGAGCGUAUACUUUUUUUGGGCUAGUCAUCUAGUAGUGGGAUCAAUACUUGUGUGGUAUAGGCAAUAUUUGGAGUGGUUUGACAAUUGAAAGUGGAUGAUUAAAAUGAUGGCUAGAUAAGGAACAUUGUAACUUCGCAAAAUACAGUUACUAAAGUGGUUAUAACAUGUAUGAAUUUCUUAGCGAAUCAUGAGAAAGAUGUUGCACCAAUUGUGGUCAGAACCUCUACUGCGAUUUUAUAGAUUGAAUGUGUAUCAAAGGAGGUCAUGAUCGGACUACUACAAUAGUGUCGAUGUUUACUUGGUUAGAAUUACGGAAUGUGUUACUUCUACUACCAACCUGAUCUAAGAAAUAAUGCAUAUCUCUUGGGAUAGAGACUGAAUAGAUUUAAGAAUGUUUUGUAGAUAUUCAAUAGAUAGAAAUGUGUGGGCUAUUUGGGUACAAUCUUCUCGAUAGGUAUGAUGUGUUCUAGUGAUUGAUCUAAUGGACUUUCAUUAUGUGAUACAGUGGUAUAUGAAAAUGGAUACAUCGAUUGUCAAGUGUGAAUACUAACUACUUAAAGAGUUAUCAAUUGUAUCACAUGCUCAUAUAAUAAGAUUUGAUGUUGCAUUCAUAUUUGAGAAACCAACUAGCUUGUUACUGCGAACGAAUGGGUUAAGCAUUAUUUAUAAGAAAGCUUUUAGUGGUGAAUCGUUGGGUACAAUAUUAAUGCAUUCAGGUUGUAGAAUGUAUCUCGGGAAUUUUAAAUGAGUGGUGAUUUCAUUGUAAGCUCCAUGGAAGUGGAUCGAUAUUAGAAUGACAAGCUUAUGGGUAAAGGAAGUCCCAACGAGUAUACUUGCGUGAAGGUAAUUGAGAAUUUUAGUAAGAAAUUGUGUAUAAAAUUGAGUUAGUCCUUUGGAUUUGAUUGGUAUAACUAGGUUUGAGGUGUCAUAUCGAUGAUAAUGUUGACUUUGUGGUGAUGUUGAUGGUUGCCUGAGCAUAAUUGUAGUAAGAGUUCGUGAUGGAUUGUGAUUAAGAUGCAACUAUAUAAUAAUGAUUGUUGGUUAAAUGGAUUUUGUAUGGUAAUGACGACUUGCAAGUACCUAAUGUUGUGGUUUUCUACUAUUUGAUGAGUAACGUGGUUGCAUGGAAAGUUAUAAGAGGUGCUGAGACACCACUCGAAUAGAAUUGAAAUGUACUAGAGUCAUAAUGAAAAAAUAGUGGGAUGUAGUGUAGCCUUUGGAAAGAGGUGAGGACAACAAUAUUUUCUCUUAUUGCAAGGGCUAAAGAGGUAUCUUCAAAGGAAUUGAGAAUUGAGGUAUAAAGACAUGUGGUUCCAUCUAUUUUACUAUGGUUAUGGUGAUAGUGUUACGUGCCAUUCAUAUCAGUUAAAAGUUGUUGGAUAAGAUUUGAGAAAGAAGUCUAUAGACGUUUGACUCGAGGGUGAUGAUAAGUGCUUUAUUUUUUUGAGUUUGAUAAUUGGUACAAUUGAAUUUUAACGAAGGUUACGGUAAGAUCAAUGGAGAGGCGAUCAAUUAUAGGCUAAGAUACGUGAAUUCAUAAAGAUCUUCAAGGUAUGAGCUAAUGUUGAUAGAUAAUGGGAUUGUGUUACAUAGUUGGAUUCAAAAGUUCAAGUUUUUCAUGGUGAGUUUAUGUUCGUGAUAGUAUGUUUUGUCAAGGUAUGGAUAGAUAAGGUAAGAAAUGAUCGAUCGCUUUGAAUAUUGAACAUUUGGAAGGACUUGUACAUGAUUUGAGUCAUAAAGUGUGUUAUUUUGGUUUUUUCAAUGGACCUAAGAAAAGAUUUCAUUUAAUGUUUUUAUUUAGAGGAUAAGGUAAAAAUGUCAAGGGUUGUUGGCCAAAGAAUAAGAUUGGUGAGCGAGACAACAAAAUGAACAAGUGUCUGGUGUAUUGAAAAGUUCAAGAUAUUUAGACUUUUAUGUCAUGCGAAAGAUUUAAGAAAAAUGAAGGAAUAAAACAUCUCGUAUAAGCCAAUGGUUUGUAGCCUAUUAGUUUAGAUAUAACUGUGAGAUGUGAACUAGUUUGGUACAGACUUACUAGGAAUUUAUCUUCGACUUUUCUAAAGAUUGAGUUUUUGUUUGGUGAUAAGCAAUGAUGUGUGGAAGAUUCUAUGUGGUUAUGUCAAGCUAGAUUGUUUAAAUUAUGAUAGGUAACUUAUUGAUGAUCAACGGUGUGGACCUACAGUUUUAUAUGAUUAAUGAGGAUUUCGAGGGGAUUGAAACUACUUUGUUGAUGGGACGACACAAACAGUUAUGAUGUGCUACAUAGGCAUUUGAUAGUGAGUAAAGGUUAUGAGCUUAUAGUAUACCGAAUUAUUAGAGUGACCAAGAAUUUCUCUAAGUUUUAACAUGAGGUAUAUGAUAGGUUGAAUGGUAAUUGAAACUUGGUAUGUGAAAGAUUGUAUGGAGUUGAAUUUGGGUGUGAUUUAAUAGUUUUAUCUUGAUGGAAAGGUACUAUCAAAUUUGAAAUUAGUGUUAUCAGCCUUGUGUGGAACUCGUAUUUAUCAUAAAAUGCUUAUUUGGAAAGAGAGAGUGCCAUAGUUUGAAAAUUUUGGAGGUGAUAAUGUGUUUGUUAAAAGACUUUGAUACUAGUAACAGUUUGAGAGUAAGGUAAAUGAUUAAUGUGGUUAUGAUGAAUUGUUAAUAUUAGGAGUGUUGACUUUAAUGAAGUAUUGUGAGAUCAUGUGGGAUUCAAUGAAUCGAGUAAUGUUUACGAUUGUAAUGAAGACUAGACUAAUUGAUUGUGGGUGGCUAAAAAUCAAGGAGAUGGAGUUAGAUGGAUGAAAAUGUUUGAUAUGGGCACUAUGGAAGAAGUCUCUAGUGUUAUUCGACUUUGAUUCUAUAUAUUCUUAUAUGACCAUCUACUUCGUUUUGGAUAUGGUUUGGAGUGUGAUUUGCUACCUAUACCCACACAUGUUUUCAUUUCUAUGGGUGAAUUCCUAGUGGUGGAUCGGGUGUACCGAUCCUGUAAUUGUCCUCUUGGUGGGGUGGCAUCCUUGGCUAGACUUGUUCACUUCAGUUGCGGCAUAUUUGGUGUUGUCUGGAAAAGUAGAAGUAUACCAUUGUUUCUAUAUGCACGAUCUUCCUUAUGAGAACUUAUAUAAGAGAUUUCGUGAAUAGUUACAGUUAUCUGACAGUGUUGUUAAAGGUUCUACAUCCUAGACUGUACCACUUGUUAGGUGCUUACUUGAUCUUGUUCUUCUUUGGAUUAGAUAUGUUUGAUUCUCCCUUGAUGGGUACCCGAUGUCUAAAGAUCAGAUUUUUAUAACUUAAGCUUGUGAAAAGAUGGUGUUGUGAAAAGGGAAUCGUGAUAAUAUAUGUGAUGGUAUGUGCAUUAUGAGUGUCUGGUGGUUGAUUCAGGCUCGCUUCUAGUUGUAGUCAGUAUUGAUUCAGAAGGUUUUCUUGGUUAUGUGAGAAAAGAUUCGUCAUGAUGUUUGUGUUAUGGUCCAGAGGGCUUCAGUUUAGCUUUGGUUCAUAGAUUAGUCUGUGGGUUAGUAAUCAAUCGUGAUUUGUAAAUUUGUCAAAUUUGAUUACAAAGUUCAGUAAUUAGUAGUUGAUCUUGAUAGGAUGGUCUUAAGGAGGAGCUCACUAGGAGAGAUGAGCACCGAGUCUAAAAGAUCAUUUCUCAGGCUUUUGGUAACAUCGGUUAUUCUUCCUUCUCCGUCUUUAUGUUCGAGGAUGAACAUGAUUUUUAGUGGUGGAUAAUGUAACGACCCUCUUAGUCGUUUUAUGAAUUUUAAUCAUUAUUUUUAUAUUAACCCUUUUUAGUAGCUUUUACAAAUAAUUUAUAUGACUUAUAAGAAUGAGUGAUAUGAUUGUCAGAUUUAAUAAAAGAUUAUUUUGUUGUUAAUAAUAAUAGAAAAGAAAAAUAAAAUAAAAAAAUUUAAAGAGAAAUAAAAGGGUAAAUAUUGCUGGCUGUUGUGAACAACAACAGUUCGCGCAGAGGGAAAAAAUAGAAAAAAAGAAAGGGUUUGGGCGAGAACUUACCUGCGAGUUGCGGCGUCCCACGAGAGUGACAAUAUUCAGGUAAGAACCUCAAAUUUGAACUGUUUAAUCCCAUAAUAAAUUGUAUAUUCAUGAAUUAAUGAAUGUGUUGUCACUUGGAGGGGAAGGAGUAUUAUAUUGGUUUUUAGAAUGUAUUGUUCUUUCAAUUAAUGUUGUUGUACGUGGGUUUGGGGUACAAGUUUUAGUGGGGUAUUCAUGUGAGGUAGGUCAGGAGGUAAGGAAUUGGAUGUUGGGCAACAUGUUACAGUGGGGGAAGAGAAAGUAUUGUCCUCGAUUGUUAAUUAAUGAGGUGCCCAGUGUAAGGGGAAGACUCAAGUCCCGGAGUGAUUGUUCGACUAUUUGAGGCAAGUGAAUUUCUAAACCCUUGUUAAGUGUAUGGAAUUCGUGUAUUUCCUUGUAACAUGUGUUUGGAGGUAAUGAGACUUGGUGAUGGGUUGACUUGUCCACAUUGAUUAAUUCUAAUAAUGGAAAAGGGGUAAUAAAAGGCAAUGUGAUUAAUUGUUUGUGUGUGCUGUGUUGAGAAUUGUUUGUGACAUGCAUUGGUACGAGUACCAGUGUUAUAAAGGGAAAGUUUAUUACUAUAGUUUGCGGAUUGUAAUUCGAGAAUGCCAAAGCAUAUGGGCAUUAGCUGAUAUAUUAUUAACUUGAUUUAUUAUGUGUGAUUGUGUUCUUUAUUGAACCCGUAUACUGGUGAUAGCUAAGGUAAUUACAUAUCAUAUUGAUAUUUGAUUGAGAUGCAUCAUCCCUUUUAUUGAAAUCAUAUUGUGCACAUGUAUUGACAUGAGAUUGAGUAUAAGUUGGGCACGUGGAGAUUGUCCGUGCUGGUGGUGAGAUGUUAAAAUUAUAAUUUGGGCACGUGGAGAUCGUCCGUGAGAAAUUUAUUUGAUUUAUGAUAUUGCGUUGAGAUCGACCGCACAAAAACGUGGAGAUCGUCCAUGUCGGUAAUGGACCUCGCGAGUCCCCCAUGUGUCAUGAACUCUCGAUGUAUUUCCGAGGAGUAUCAUGUAUAUACAGUUGAGAGAGUACUUGGUAUUCUGAGGCAUAUCAUUUCAUGGUGUCAUAUUGCAUUGCAUCCCGUGACAUCCUUCAUUCUUGAUGAUUAUGUGUUUUAUUGAUGGUUGGAAAGUACUUGAUGUUUGAUUACCUCUAUUUGAUGAACUGAUCUUGUGUGUUGUUGCUAUUUGUGAGUGCCUUUUUGUGAAAGUUGUGAUUGAUGAUUAUUGAGUUUUGUUGUUGAGGAUAUGUAAUUUGUUACAGUGAUUGUUGUUGAGCUGGGUGCUAUGUAAACUGUGAACUGUUAGGUUGGACUGGUUUUAUGUAGGUUGUAGUUGUGGAGGUUCGGUUGGGAUGUAAGGAGUACCCGUAUUCUAUUCCCUUAGCUUGUGUUUAGAGGUGUAGUUGUUGAGUAUCGUAUGAUUUGGUACUCACCCCUUGCUUCUACAAUCUUUUGUAGGUUGCGAGCCUGGAUUUUGUGAUACUUUCCAUUCUCUUAUUUUUUGAGGCUUCUUGGAGAUUUGUGAGGUAGUUGUUUAUCAUCUCAGCGGACCUUCUUACUCCUAUUUAUGAUAUUGUUCUAUUUUAGAGACAACAUCUUUUGAGACUUACGUUUUCUUUCAAAUCUAUUGUAAUACUUUAGACGCUUGUACACGUGACAACCAGAUUUUUGGGGUAUUUUUAAGUUAAUUAUGAAAUUUCCGUAUUUUAUUGUAAUGGGUGAGUGUUAGGCUGACUUGUCUUGGUGGGAUAAGACGAGUGUCAUCACGUCUAUUUUUGGGUCGUGACAAUCAAAGUUUCUCCGCAC
rnacentral:lncRNA from 1 species